rnacentral:tRNA from 1 species
GCCGGAGUAGCUCAGUUGGGAGAGCGUCAGACUGAAGAUCUGAAGGUCCCUGGUUCAAUCCCGGGUUCCGGCA